rnacentral:rRNA from 2 species
UGGGGAAUUUUGCACAAUGGGCGCAAGCCUGAUGCAGCGACGCCGCGUGAGGGAUGAAGGCCUUCGGGUUGUAAACCUUUUUCGCUCAUGGUCAAGCCGCAGCUUUGGGUUGUGGUGAGGGUAGUGGGUAAAGAAGCGCCGGCUAACUACGUGCCAGCAGCCGCGGUAAUACGUAGGGCGCGAGCGUUGUCCGGAAUUAUUGGGCGUAAAGGGCUUGUAGGCGGUUGGCCGCGUCUGCCGUGAAAUCCUCUGGCUUAACUGGGGGCGUGCGGUGGGUACGGGGUGACUUGAGUGCGGUAGGGGAGACUGGAAUUCCUGGUGUAGCGGUGGAAUGCGCAGAUAUCAGGAGGAACACCGGUGGCGAAGGCGGGUCUCUGGGCCGUUACUGACGCUGAGGAGCGAAAGCGUGGGGAGCGAACAGG